rnacentral:lncRNA from 1 species
AGAGCUCUUGUUUUAUAGAUGAAGAGUCGGAGACCUGUAAAGCUUCAGUGACUUGUCCAAGGUCGUAUGAAUGAUCCUGCCCCCCCAUUAGAUUGUAAACUCCUUGAGGGCAGGGCCUAUAUAGUAUCUGUCUUGUAUCCCUAGAGAGAUUGAGUGACUUCCUUACCCCUGGUCACGCAGCUAGUAAGUCUCUGAAACACGGAGCCUUUCAUGCAGUAGGUGAUUAAUAUAUGUGUGAAUGAAUGAAGGAACGCUGAGGAUCUGGUCAGGUGGAUGAAAUACAUGGGGAAGCAAAGGAUGUAGAGGAAAGAGCCCUGGCCUGGAAGUGACUGAGAUGGCGCCACGCUGUCCAGCGUGUGGGGCCUGGAGGCAGGGAGACGAGUUCAAAUCCAUCCUCAGACACUUACCAGCUGUGUGACCCUGGGCAAGUCACUUAUCCUGUUCAUCUGUAAAAUGGGGAUAAUAGAGCAACUACCUCCCAGGGUUGUUGUAAGGAUCGAGUGAAACAGGAUUGUAUGUGUAUAGCCCGGCGCCUGGCACACAGUAGGCACUUCGUUAAUGCUGUUCCCUUUCCACCCCAACCCCCAUCCCAUGACACCAGAGAUGCCAUUUCUCUCAGGACCUCAGUGUCCUUCUCAACACAUGAGGAGCCGUACAAGGGGACUCCAAGGUCCCUCCCAGCCUGAUUUUCAGCCUCACACAGUCUGUACAGGGGAACAUCGCUGCUCACGAGGUACCCACAGACACCACAGAGGCCCGGGAUGGUCCCAGGAACAGUGGAAGAAGAUGUGACUGGACUGAAUCGACAUUAGCUGCCUGUGUAAGUGACAGUGUGGGCACAGUAUGUCUUGGAGGCUUCCAGAGAUGCCUGGGGAAAGAGAGGAAGACUUUGGGAAGGACAGCCAGCCUCUCAGAGAUUUCUGAGAGGAUGUGAGUGAGUCUGGGCCUCGUUGGGUUUUGGUUUGAGCUUCAGCUGUAAAACAUCUCUGAUUUCUAUUGGCCGUUUGCUUAGAUUCAGGGGUUUACAUGACAUCUGCUAUUUGUGAAGGUCUUUCGGUGUAGCAGAUAUUUG